rnacentral:lncRNA from 1 species
GAUCGCGCGAGUCGACUCCAAUCCCAACGGUAAUAUUGUCAGGAAGUGCAGACUGUGUCCAACGGCUCUAUUUUUGUCUCUAACGGCUAAUUCUUGUUUCCACGCCAUCUAAAGCUAUAAAAACAAGAAGAGAGCUAGGGGAGAACGAAUGGAAGUGGGAGAAAACAUUUAGGAAAGAGAUUACAAGGAAAAUCUCCCAUAAGCACAAAAAGGGCCAUCCAAAGAGAAAUAGAGAGAAGAAGAGCUUCCAAGUGAAUCCCAAAGCUUCCUCUCCAUCAGUGUGCUGCCUCGGUGAUCCUCUACUUCGUGCCAAAUCAGAAGAGGGUCAAGUAAAGAAGAAGUCGAGCUCCUCCAUCUUCAAAACUCGUUUGAGGGCUUCUCUUUACUCUGUUUGUUUAUAUUGUUAUAUUUGCUUGUUUAAGAAGCUUUGAUUUGUUUUAAACUUUGUUUUAUUAUCUUGUAACUUGAUUCAAUCACGGGAUUGAAUCAAGGGGUUAAGGUUUGUUGGUGAGCCAAAGGGAAAACCAACGGUGUAAGGUUUGUUGGUGAGCC